UACGUAGGGGGCGAGCGUUGUCCGGAAUUACUGGGCGUAAAGCGCAUGUAGGCGGGCGACUAAGUCAGGGGUGAAAACCGUGGGCUCAACCUACGGCUUGCCCUUGAUACUGGUCGUCUUGAGUACAGGAGAGGGAAGCGGAAUUCCCGGUGUAGCGGUGAAAUGCGUAGAUAUCGGGAGGAAUACCAGUGGCGAAGGCGCCCUUCUGGACGGUUACUGACGCUGAGACGCGAAAGCGUGGGGAGCAAACAGG
rnacentral:rRNA from 1 species